CCUACGGGUGGCUGCAGUCGGGAAUAUUGGGCAAUGGAGGAAACUCUGACCCAGCAAUACCGCGUGAAGGAUGAAGGUUUUCGGAUUGUAAACUUCUGUUAUAAAGGAAGAAAAAAAUGACGGUACUUUAUAAGUAAGCCCCGGCAAACUAUGUGCCAGCAGCCGCGGUGAUACAUAGGGGGCAAUCGUUUGCCGGAAUGACUGGGUGUAAAGGGUGUGUAGGUGGCUUAUUAAGUUAGGGGGGAAAGUCCGAGGCUCAACUUCGGAACUGCCGUGAAAACUGGGUGGCUUGAGUGUGGGAGAGGUUAGCGGAACUCCUGGUGUAGCGGUGGAAUGCGUAGAUAUUAGGAAGAACAUCAGAGGCGAAGGCGACUAACUGGAACAAUACUGACACUGAAACACGAAAGCGUGGGGAGCAAACAGGAUUAGAUACCCCUGUAGUC
rnacentral:rRNA from 1 species